rnacentral:rRNA from 1 species
GGCGCGCAAAUUACCCACUCCCGGCACGGGGAGGUAGUGACGAAAAAUAACGAUACGGGACUCAUCCGAGGCCCCGUAAUCGGAAUGAGUACACUUUAAAUCCUUUAACAAGGAUCAAUUGGAGGGCAAGUCUGGUGCCAGCAGCCGCGGUAAUUCCAGCUCCAAUAGCGUAUAUUAAAGUUGUUGCGGUUAAAAAGCUCGUAGUCGAAUUUGUGUCUCAUGCCGCUGGUUCAUCGUUCGCGGUGUAAACUGGCGUGACAUGGGACGUCCUGCCGGUGGGCUUAGCUCUUAACGGGGCGGCCCUAUAUAAUCCUGCCGCGUUGCUCUUAAUCGAGUGUCGAGGUGGGCCGGCUCAUUUACUUUGAACAAAUUAAAGUGCUUAAAGCAGGCUAAAAUUUUGCCUGAAUAUGUGUGCAUGGAAUAAUGGAAUAGGACCUCGGUUCUAUUUUGUUGGUUUUAGGAACACCGAGGUAAUGAUUAAUAGGAACGGAUGGGGGCAUUCGUAUUGCGACGUUAGAGGUGAAAUUCUUGGAUCGUCGCAAGACGAACAUAAGCGAAAGCAUUUGUCAAAAACGUUUUCAUUGAUCAAGAACGAAAGUUAGAGGUUCGAAGGCGAUCAGAUACCGCCCUAGUUCUAACCAUAAACGAUGCCAGCCAGCGAUCCGCCGAUGUUCCUCCGAUGACUCGGCGGGCAGCUUCCGGGAAACCAAAGCUUUUGGGUUCCGGGGGAAGUAUGGUUGCAAAGCUGAAACUUAAAGGAAUUGACGGAAGGGCACCACCAGGAGUGGAGCCUGCGGCUUAAUUUGACUCAACACGGGAAACCUCACCAGGCCCAGACACUGGAAGGAUUGACAGAUUGAGAGCUCUUUCUUGAUUCAGUGGGUGGUGGUGCAUGGCCGUUCUUAGUUGGUGGAGCGAUUUGUCUGGU